rnacentral:rRNA from 1 species
AGUGAACGCUGGCGGUAGGCCUAACACAUGCAAGUCGAACGGCAGCACAGUAAGAGCUUGCUCUUACGGGUGGCGAGUGGCGGACGGGUGAGGAAUACAUCGGAAUCUACUUUUUCGUGGGGGAUAACGUAGGGAAACUUACGCUAAUACCGCAUACGACCUACGGGUGAAAGCAGGGGAUCUUCGGACCUUGCGCGAUUGAAUGAGCCGAUGUCGGAUUAGCUAGUUGGCGGGGUAAAGGCCCACCAAGGCGACGAUCCGUAGCUGGUCUGAGAGGAUGACAAGCAAAAAGGGAAAGGAGAACAGGGCCAGAGACAGAGGGGAGGAAGCAGGGGGGAAUAGUGAAAAAGGGGGGCAAGCUUAACACAACAAUACGGGGGGGGUGAAGAAGGCCGUGGGGUUACAAAGCCUUUUUGUGGGAAAAAAAAAGCAGGAGGUUAAUACCCCGGUGUUAGGAGGGUACAAAAAGAAAAAGCACCGGCUAACUGAGU